rnacentral:rRNA from 1 species
GAGGAAGGUUACCCCCCACAUUGGAACUGAGACACGGUCCAAACUCCUACGGAAGGCAGCAG